GCUGAACUAGCUCAGUGGUCAGCGCGUCGAGCUAACAACCCGGAGCUCGCGGGUUCGAUUCUCCUCACUGGAA